CCAUGAGGCCCCUCUCUGCACCUCUGUCUUCAACCUUCUUGGCCCUCUGCCACUCACACUGCCACAACUCGCACAAAAACCUGCAUGCUCGAGAAAAAAUCCAACCAAAACCUAAGAAACCACUCCAAUCUCUAUGCUUUCUUUCCUUGCUUGCCCUCCUCCACCUCCUCCUCUCUCUUCCCCCACUGAUAGCCUCCCCACCACCCUCCACCUCCUCUUUGCUUUCAUCAGUUGCUGCAAGGCCCCUCUACACCCCUGACCUCAACCUCCUUGGCCC
rnacentral:lncRNA from 1 species